rnacentral:piRNA from 1 species
UGUAUAGAUAUUAGAGAAUAUGU